rnacentral:lncRNA from 1 species
AUCCAAAAAUAAUUCUAUAAUUGACAUCCAAAUCAACAUCUAUAAUUUAAUCAUUACAGCCAAACAAUUCAAGUAAACAAACAUUUGUACAAUUUGGUAUACAAUCUUUCCCAUAAAAAAUAAACACCAAACCCAGUUUCAGAAAAUAUUCCCACUUUUAAAUGAAUCUUAAUGUCUUCAACAUCGACCAAGCAAACUCCAACAAACUGCCGAUCGUAUGGGCAUGCUUAUGUUUAAGUUCCAGUUGCUGCAAGAUGAACUGAAGCAAUUUUGAUCCCUGCGAGGCAAUCUUUGAGUACAAGCACUACACUAUUGGAAAUUUUGGGAACAAAAAUGCAUACUAGAGAAUACACAUGAACUCAAAACAAUGUUAUUGCAAGGACUAACAUUGCAAAGAAAAUUCAUCAUCCAAAAUCAGCCAAAUUAACCAAUUUAUUAUUUACCAAAGAGAAGUCAAUCAAUUUGAUUUGUCAGUGAUAAAUUCAUCAUUCAAAAUCAGCCAAAUUAACCUCCAACUUCGAUUUUAAAGAACCCAAAUUUUAGUUAGGUCAAAGCCCAAGGCAUUGAGAGAUCAAUUUCCAUUUUUAACUAUGCAUAAUAAAUGGAAAAGCCAAUAAAUCAAGGAAUAAUAAGGAGCAACGAAUUUAAUUUUCAAAAUCAAACAAGUUAUUUUCGUCUUGGGCACCAAGCAGGGAGUAGCUAGCUCCUCAAACUUUCUUCUUAGUUUCUUUCGGCUGGGUUCUGUCUUCCAAUGGCUUUCAGAGCUGCUCUGCUUCUGUUGGCCAAUUUGCUUUUAGUCUCUACUAAGUGUUUUAUCUAACAAUGAGGAGGAAUAUCUGCUGGAAAAGGAUGCUACUUACCCCAAAACCCCAGUACCUGCACCAGCUCCUCCUAAGGCUCCAGUUAAGCCAAUCACUCCACCACCAGUAGUGAAGCCACCCACCACGUAUCCACCACCA